CCUACGGGGGGCUGCAGUGGGGAAUAUUGCACAAUGGGGGAAACCCUGAUGCAGCAACGCCGCGUGAGCGAUGAAGGCCUUCGGGUCGUAAAGCACUGUCCUAAGGGAAGAAUACUGACGGUACCUUAGGAGGAAGCCCCGGCUAACUACGUGCCAGCAGCCGCGGUAAUACGUAGGGGGCUAGCGUUAUCCGGAAUUACUGGGCGUAAAGGGCGCGUAGGCGUCCCUGCAAGUCAGAGGUGAAAGAGUACGGCUCAACCGUAGUAAGCCGUUGAAACUGUAGGGCUUGAGGGCAGGAGAGGAAAGUGGAAUUCACGGUGAAGCGGGGUAAGGCGUAGAUAUUGAGAGGGACACCAAUUGCGAAGGAGGAUCUCUGGACUGUAACUGACGCUGAGGCACGAAAGCGUGGGGAGCGAACAGGAUUAGAUACCCGAGUCGUC
rnacentral:rRNA from 1 species